GUGCCAGCUGCCGCGGUAAUACCGGCAGCCCGAGUGAUGGCCGAUCUUAUUGGGCCUAAAGCGUCCGUAGCUGGCUGCGCAAGUCCGUCGGGAAAUCCACUCGCCCAACGAGUGGGCGUCCGACGGAAACUACACAGCUUGGGACCGGAAGGCUCGAAGGGUACGUUCGGGGUAGGAGUGAAAUCCCGUAAUCCCGGACGGACUACCGAUGGCGAAAGCACUCUGAGAAGACGGCUUCGACAGUGAGGGACGAAAGCUCGGGUCUCAAACCGGAUUAGAUACCCGGGUGUCC
rnacentral:rRNA from 1 species